CCUACGGGCGGCAGCAGUGAGGAAUAUUGGUCAAUGGUCGCGAGACUGAACCAGCCAAGUCGCGUGCAGGAUGACGGCCCUAUGGGUUGUAAACUUCUUUUAUGCGGGGAUAAAAUGCGUCACGUGUGAUGUUUUGUGGGUACCGCAUGAAUAAGGACCGGCUAAUUCCGUGCCAGCAGCCGCGGUAAUACGGAAGGUCCGAGCGUUAUCCGGAUUUAUUGGGUUUAAAGGGAGCGUAGGCCGCAAGUUAAGCGUGCCGUGAAAUGCCGGGGCUCAACCAUUUCACUGCGGUGGGAACUGGCUUGCUUGAGUGCGCGGAACGUAUGCGGAAUGCGUGGUGUAGCGGUGAAAUGCGUAGAUAUCACGAAGAACUCCGAUUGCGAAGGCAGCAUACGGCAGCGCUACUGACGCUGAUGCUCGAAGGCGCGGGUAUCGAACAGGAUUAGAUACCCCGGUAGUC
rnacentral:rRNA from 1 species